CUCGGUGAUGCUCAACGUCCGCCUGCAGUGCGGAUCGAGUGAGCAAACGCCCUCCGCCACGGCGGAGAGGGCCAUCCGCGCCUUCCGCGCCAUCCUGGCGGCCGCAGGAAGGACAGCGGGGCGCACAGUGCCUCCAGACUGCGGCGGGGAGAGCAAGCGGCACAGCCAGGGCCCCUCCAUUUUAGGUCUCUGCGAAAGGCCUGAGAAACCGCAUCCCAAACCGCAAAUCCUUCACAGCCCAGUCCUUUUCCUCUGCAUCCAGAGAAUCACCAGAGUCUGGCAAACCUGUUGCCUCCCCAUUGGCCGAAAGCAGGGGAGCCCCCAAAAAGGGAUGAUUUACCAGGCACUGUGCCUGAAGAGGACUCCUGAGAUGUCACCUGAACCCUAAAUGGGAGAGGACUGGGCCAGUGAGGUCUCNNNNNNNNNNNNNAAGAAGGGCCUUUCUGCGCUGUCCGGUCAGAGAUGUGGUUUCUGAAGUUGUCACAUGUUGUUUUCUCCCAAAGCAUGUUGAACCUCAAGAGUAAGGGGAAAUGAAACCAUCUCUACAGGCCACUGCUGCAGCCCAGAGUCCUCGCUGAAGUAGCCCGAAGUUUGAUCCCAAGGAUGCACAUGGGGCUCACAACACUGUGCAACGUCAGUCCCAGAGGAGCCAGCGAUGUCUUCUACACUAUCCUGGGACCAAUGGUGUACUCUUCGCUAAAAUCAUGCACACAGGCAAAAUGGCUAUUGAAGGAAACUUCAUGAUUUUGAAGCGCCCAGAACUUGAUGCCAAAUACCCACGUAGGAUGCACAGUGGCCCACAACUCCAUUUCCGGGGCACCCAAGGCACCCUUCUGCCCUAUUCUGGGACCAGGAAUGCAGUUGCUGCUUAGAACACACACUCGGGCAAAACAGCCGUUC
ensembl:processed_transcript